CGUAGGGGGCAAGCGUUGUCCGGAUUUAUUGGGCGUAAAGAGCUCGUAGGCGGUUCCGUAAGUCGAGUGUGAAAAAUCUGGGCUCAACCCAGUGGAGCACUCGAUACUGCGGUGACUUGAGUUCGGUAGAGGAGUGUGGAAUUCCUGGUGUAGCGGUGAAAUGCGCAGAUAUCAGGAGGAACACCGACGGCGAAGGCAGCACUCUGGGCCGGUACUGACGCUGAGGAGCGAAAGCGUGGGGAGCAAACAGGAUUAGAUACCCUGGUAGUCCACGCCGUAAACGUUGGGCACUAGGUGUGGGGAGGAAUCAACCCUUUCCGUGCCGUAGCUAACGCAUUAAGUGCCCCGCCUGGGGAGUACGGCCGCAAGGCUA
rnacentral:rRNA from 1 species